rnacentral:rRNA from 1 species
GGUCAAGCGAAUAAGUGCAUGUGGUGGAUGCCUUGGCGAUUACAGGCGAUGAAGGACGUGGUAGCCUGCGAUAAACUGCGGGGAGCUGGCAAACAAGCUUCGAUCCGCAGGUUUCCGAAUGGGGAAACCCAGCCCGUAAGGGUUAUCCUGGUCUGAAUACAUAGGACCAGUGAAGCGAACCCGGUGAACUGAAACAUCUAAGUAACCGGAGGAAAAGAAAUCAACCGAGAUUCCGGAAGUAGCGGCGAGCGAAACCGGACCAGCCAUUGCGAUUUAGCAGUUGUUUUAGCAAAACGGUAUGGAAAGACCGACCAUAGAGGGUGAUAGUCCCGUAUGCGAAAGAACGAUUGUGGAACUAGGCGCAAACCAAGUAGGGCGGGACACGUGAAAUCCUGUUUGAAUAUAGGGGGACCAUCCUCUAAGGCUAAAUACUCGUAAUCGACCGAUAGUGAACCAGUACCGUGAGGGAAAGGCGAAAAGAACCCCGGGAGGGGAGUGAAAUAGAUCCUGAAACCGCAUGCAUACAAACAGUAGGAGCCCCUGCUUCAAGCGCAUUAACGCGCUUGUUGCGUUUAGUGUUUUUGAAGCAGGGGUGACUGCGUACCUUUUGUAUAAUGGGUCAGCGACUUAUAUUCACUGGCAAGCUUAACCUUUUAGGGGAGGCGUAGGGAAACCGAGUCCGAAUAGGGCGAUUUAGUCGGUGGGUGUAGACCCGAAAGCGGAUGAUCUAUCCAUGGCCAGGUUGAAGCGAAGGUAACACUUCGUGGAGGACCGAACCAACUAACGUUGAAAAGUUAGUGGAUGAGCUGUGGAUAGGGGUGAAAGGCUAAACAAAUCCGCAAAUAGCUGGUUCUCUCCGAAAACUAUUUAGGUAGUGCCUCGUGUUACACCUUCGGGGGUAGAGCACUGUUUUGGCUAGGGGGUCUUUAUUGAUCUACCAAACCAAGGCAAACUCCGAAUACCGAAGAGUGCAUUCACGGGAGACAGAGCACCGGGUGCUAACGUCCGGACUCAAGAGGGAAACAACCCAGACCGCCAGCUAAGGUCCCCAAUUAUGAUUAAGUGGUCAACGAAGUGAGAAGGCCCAGACAGCCAGGAGGUUGGCUUAGAAGCAGCCACCCUUUAAAGAAAGCGUAAUAGCUCACUGGUCGAGUCGUCUUGCGCGGAAGAUGUACCGGGGCUAAAAUCAUAAACCGAAGCUGCGGAUUCGAAUAUCUUCGGAUGUUUGAAUGGUAGGAGAGCGUUCUGUACGCCUGUGAAGGUGGAUCGUAAGGUCUGCUGGAGGUAUCAGAAGUGCGAAUGCUGACAUGAGUAGCGAUAAAGGGGGUGAAAAGCCCCCUCGCCGAAAGCCCAAGGUUUCCUGAGCAACGUUCAUCGGCUCAGGGUGAGUCGGCCCCUAAGGUGAGGGCGAAAGCCGUAACUGAUGGGAAUCUGGUUAAUAUUCCAGAACCGCCGUGUAAUGCGAUGGGGUAACGGAGAAGGUUAGGCAGACCGGGUGUUGGAUGUCCCGGUGAAGUGUGUAGGCGGAGCUCUUAGGCAAAUCCGGGAGCUCAUUAACGCUGAGGCACGGGACCAGCGAAGCUUGCUUCGCGAAGCUGCUAAUACCAUGCUUCCAAGAAAAACCUCUAAGCUUCAGUUACACGGGACCGUACCGUAAACGGACACACGUGGGCGGGAUGAGAAUUCUAAGGCGCUUGAGAGAACUCAGGAGAAGGAACUCGGCAAAUUGACACCGUAACUUCGGAAGAAGGUGUGCCCUGUUAGGGUGAAGGGACUUGCUCCCGGAGCUCGAGAGGGUUUCAGAGAAUCGGUGGCUGCGACUGUUUAUUAAAAACAUAGCGCUGUGCUAACACGAAGAGUGGACGUAUACAGCGUGACGCCUGCCCGGUGCCGGAAGGUUAAGUGAUGGGGUGCAAGCUCUUGAUCGAAGCCCCGGUAAACGGCGGCCGUAACUAUAACGGUCCUAAGGUAGCGAAAUUCCUUGUCGGGUAAGUUCCGACCUGCACGAAUGGCGUAACGAUGGCCACACUGUCUCCUCCUGAGACUCAGCGAAGUUGACAUGGUUGUGAUGAUGCAAUCUACCCGCGGCUAGACGGAAAGACCCCGUGCACCUUUACUGCAGCUUUGCAUUGGACUGUGAUGGAAUUUGUGUAGGAUAGCUGGGAGGCUUUGAAGAGCAGACGCUAGUUUGUUUGGAGCCAACCUUGAAAUACCAGCCUGAUUGUAUUGCGGUUCUAACCUAGGUCCCUUAUCGGGAUCGGGGACCAUGCAUGGUAGGCAGUUUGACUGGGGCGGUCUCCUCCCAAAGAGUAACGGAGGAGUUCGAAGGUUCGCUAGGUACGGUCGGACAUCGUACUGAUAGUGCAUUGGCAUAAGCGAGCUUGACUGCGAGACUGACGGGUCGAGCAGGUGCGAAAGCAGGACAAAGUGAUCCGGUGGUUCUGAAUGGAAGGGCCAUCGCUCAACGGAUAAAAGGUACGCCGGGGAUAACAGGCUGAUCUCCCCCAAGAGUUCAUAUCGACGGGGAGGUUUGGCACCUCGAUGUCGGCUCAUCACAUCCUGGGGCUGUAGCCGGUCCCAAGGGUAUGGCUGUUCGCCAUUUAAAGUGGUACGCGAGCUGGGUUUAGAACGUCGUGAGACAGUUUGGUCCCUAUCUACCGUGGGCGCUGGAAGUUUGAGAGGACCUGCUCCUAGUACGAGAGGACCGGAGUGGACGUAGCUCUGGUGUACCGGUUGUGACGCCAGUCGCAUUGCCGGGUAGCUAACUACGGAAGAGAUAAGCGCUGAAAGCAUCUAAGCGCGAAACUCGCCUCAAGAUGAGACUUCCCGGAGGUUUAACCUCCCUAAAGGGUCGUUGCAGACUACAACGUUGAUAGGUCGGGUGUGCAAGCGUAGCAAUGCGUUCAGCUAACCGAUACUAAUUGCCCGUGCGGCUUGAUCCU